AUUGAACGCUGGCGGAAUGCUUUACACAUGCAAGUCGAACGGCAGCACGGACUUCGGUCUGGUGGCGAGUGGCGAACGGGUGAGUAAUGUAUCGGAACGUGCCCAGUCGUGGGGGAUAACGUAGUGAAAAUUACGCUAAUACCGCAUACGAUCUAUGGAUGAAAGCGGGGGAUCGCAAGACCUCGCGCGAUUGGAGCGGCCGAUAUCAGAUUAGGUAGUUGGUGGGGUAAAGGCCCACCAAGCCAACGAUCUCUAGCUGGUCUGAGAGGACGACAAGGCAGACGGGAACGGGGACGCGGUCCGAACUCCGCCGGGAGGCAGCAGGGGGGAAUUUUGGACAAUGGGCAAAAGCCUGAUCCAGCCAUUCCGCGUGCAGGAUGAAGGCCCUCGGGUUGUAAACUGCUUUUGUACAGAACGAAAAGGUUUCUACUAAUACUAGGAGCUCAUGACGGUACUGUAAGAAUAAGCACCGGCUAACUACGUGCCAGCCGCCGCGGUAA
rnacentral:rRNA from 1 species